GAUGAAGAACGUAGCGAAAUGCGAUAAGUAGUGUGAAUUGCAGAAUUCAGUGAAUCAUCGAUUCUUUGAACGCACAUUGCGCCCUUUGGUAUUCCUUAGGGCAUGCCUGUUCGAGCGUCAUUUAAACCUUCAAGCUAAGCUUGGUGUUGGGUGACUGUCCGCCUCACGGCGGACUCGCCUCAAAAUUAUUGGCGGCCGGUACAUUGGCUUCGAGCGCAGCAGAAACGCGAACUCGGGCCCGUCGUAUUGGCUCCCAGAAGCUAUCUUCACAAUUUUGACCUCGGAUCAGGUAGGGAUACCCGCUGAACUUAAGCAUAUCAAUAAGCGGAGGA
rnacentral:misc_RNA from 1 species